CCUACGGGUGGCAGCAGUCGAGAAUCAUUCACAAUGGGGGAAACCCUGAUGGUGCGACGCCGCGUGGGGGAAUGAAGGUCUUCGGAUUGUAAACCCCUGUCAUGUGGGAGCAAAUUAAAAAGAUAGUACCACAAGAGGAAGAUACGGCUAACUCUGUGCCAGCAGCCGCGGUAAUACAGAGGUCUCAAGCGUUGUUCGGAAUCACUGGGCGUAAAGCGUGCGUAGGCUGUUUCGUAAGUCGUGUGUGAAAGGCGCGGGCUCAACCCGCGGACGGCACAUGAUACUGCGAGACUAGAGUAAGGGAGGGGUAACCGGAAUUCUCGGUGUAGCAGUGAAAUGCGUAGAUAUCGAGAGGAACACUCGUGGCGAAGGCGGGUUCCUGGACAUUAACUGACGCUGAGGCACGAAGGCCAGGGGAGCGAAAGGGAUUAGAUACCCCAGUAGUC
rnacentral:rRNA from 1 species